ensembl:misc_RNA Y_RNA Y RNA
GAUAAUCCAUGGUAGUGAGUUAUCUCAAUUGAUUGUUCAGUCAAUUACAGAUUGAGCUCUUUUCUACUCUUUCCCCAUGCUCACUACUGCACUGGACUAGUCUUAA